rnacentral:rRNA from 1 species
GACGAACCGUGCGAACGUUGUUCGGAAUCACUGGGCUUAAAGGGCGCGUAGGCGGGUUCUCAAGUCUGGAGUGAAAUCCCACGGCUUAACCGUGGAAGCGCUUUGGAUACUGGGGGAUCUCGAGGGAGGUAGGGGCGUGCGGAACUUCCGGUGGAGCGGUGAAAUGCGUAGAUAUCGGGAGGAACACCUGUGGCGAAAGCGGCUCACUGGACCACAACUGACGCUGAGGCGCGAAAGCUAGGGGAGCAAACAGGG